rnacentral:rRNA from 1 species
GGCUCAGGAUGAACGCUAGCGGCAGGCUUAACACAUGCAAGUCGAGGGGCAGCGCGGAGUAGCAAUACUCUGGCGGCGACCGGCGAAAGGGUGAGUAACGCGUGAGCAACAUGCCCGAUAGUGGAGGAUAAGUCGAUGGAAACGUCGUGUAAUACUCCGUAACAUACGGGACCGCAUGAUUCUGUAUUAAUAGAUUUAUUGCUAUCGGAUUGGCUCGCGUACCAUUAGCUGGUUGGCGGGGUAACGGCCCACCAAGGCGACGAUGGUUAGGGGUUCUGAGAGGAAGGUCCCCCACAUUGGAACUGAGACACGGUCCAGACUCCUACGGGAGGCAGCAGUGAGGAAUAUUGGACAAUGGCCGGAAGGCUGAUCCAGCCAUGCCGCGUGCGGGAAGAACCGGCCCUAUGGGUUGUAAACCGCUUUUGUUGGGGAGCAAUAAGGAGCACGUGUGCUUCGAUGAGAGUACCCAGCGAAUAAGCAUCGGCUAACUCCGUGCCAGCAGCUGC